GGAUUGUGGCUCAGUGGUACAGUGCUCGCCUAGCACAUGUGAGGCCCUGGGUUCGAUCUUCAGCACCA
rnacentral:tRNA from 1 species